GCGCCCGUAGCUCAGCCGGAUAGAGCAGCGGCCUUCUAAGCCGACGGUCAGGGGUUCGAAUCCCUUCGGGCGCG
rnacentral:tRNA from 1 species